GCUCCCCGCGCCGCAGUCGCGGCCAGCCAGAGGCAGAGGCAGAGCGAGAGGGGGCGCGGGAGGGUCCGCCGUGGGCGCAUGGAAGGGCCGGGGAGCCGCCGCCGCCGCCGCCGCCGCCGCCGGCCGCCGAGCGCGAGCGGGAGGUGGAAUCUGUCUGCCAGGGCGCACGCAUCCCUCUCCAGGGUUGAGGCCCAAGAGGGGAGCCGAGCACCCCACCCAGGUCCCACCUGAGACCCCUGAAGGGGCAGAAAAGAGAGAAACCACCACGAGGAGACCGGACAGCGAGCCAGGGACCCGCCGGAGGACGUGUAAGGGGUUUGAGACUGUUGCGUUGCCCCUAAUCAGUUGAGAGCUUUGGGUAACGAGGGGAUGAAAAGAUCUGGCAAAUACUUCUCUAAGUGUGGGAGGGUGAGGCUGGAGCGGCACUGUGCAUUCAGGUGAGCCAUCCAGCACGCAACAAACAGGCGUUGUAAUUCUUAAAACCACCCACCCGCAUUCCAGACAAAGGACCCAGAAGAAGAGGUGACUGCUUCCCCUGCUCCCAUCCCUCCCCCUGCCCAGCGAUGUGCUGGUAAAUAAAUGCUGAACAACCAGAUCUGGAGGCGGGAGAUCUCAGCUGUAACAAAAACCAGUUUAUGUGGUGCCAGUGUUCCCACCGACCCACGGCAGAGCUGGGAAGAGAUGCGCGCACCAGCUCUCGGGCCUGUAAGGGCCAGCCCCGGCACACCUCUGCGUCAGCUCUUUGUCAGAUGCCUUCAGAAUGCGGCCAUAAUUCAAGGUGCACAAACAACCGCAGCUCCUUCCAUCCUGUUCCCACUUGCUGCCAGUUCUCUGUCUACUAUCAAAUGUCCCCGAGGAGAGAAUCUGUCACCAUCGUCCUUUUAGGGGAAAGCUCUCCUUGGAGGCUAUCUCGGAAGCCACUGAGCAGCCCAUAGGCUGGCUACCUCUGAGCCAGGUGUCCUCUCCUACUCCAUCUGUGGCUAGGAUGGACAGCUCACAUGCUAGACAACAUGGCCACCCAUGCUGAAGAAACAGACUGCGUUGCUACCUGCUUAGGGGGUUGUGGUCGGGGCGGCCUCUUUCGAAAGGAGUCUGUAAGCACGACAGGCUUUCAAGCGGUGGUCUCUCUGACAUACUGUUCUCAGCUCUUCAGUGAGAUCCUCUCGGCCACUACACAGAGCUUUGGGACAGCUUCUCCUCCACAUACCCCAAGGAACAUCUUGGGUAGGUGCCAACAACUGCAAACAGGAGAAUGGACAGGUUAGGACUGGAUAGGAUUCAAAAGCCCCUCAUUUAGGGGGAGAAACCCUAAGUUAGUACUUAAGUUCAGUGAACAUUUAUCAAGUGCCGUUGUUUCAAACCAAUAGUGAUGAUUGGAGAGUAAGGAAAUCAUCUCAUAGGAGGAUGUCAUAGAUGAUCCAGGAGAAGGGUUUCCAGACUACACUCAACCCAAACUCCACAGAUUCUGCUUUCCUAAUCUGGGAAGUAGAACGGCGUGACUCAGCUCUGCCGAGAACACUUCUAUAUUGGUAGAAGCGUGCCCCUUGCCUCGAUGUGCUGGGGUGGGAGUGGGGUCGAGGAGAACUAUUCUCAACAACGUGAGGGACACAGAGUCAAUGCUGACUGGCUCACGGAGACACCUGAAAUCUUCUUUUACACAGUGGAAGCCAUCCCUUUUGUUAAUUCUGGAGAUAGUUGAUGUAUUCCCAUGAUGGAUGCGCUACCUGAUUCUCCCAGCUUUGGAUAUGUGGCUGCGCUACAACAAACAAUAACUAUUUCGACAAGAUUUUCAAUAUUGUAGACCAUUAAAUAAUCCUCUCUAGACCAGCAAAGCUGCUUGACUGUUAGCAAGAUCGUAUCACAUAAAGUGAUAUAUGCUACGUCAACCAUAUACACGUACAGAAGAAAAGAGAGCGAAGGGGAAGGAGCGAGAAUGAACAGUUGAAACUGCACAGGAAAAUUCUGAUGGGAGACUUGAUUCUACUUUCAUUCAGUCUCUUAGUGCUUCUUCUGUCGAGAGCAUCUAACCCCACAGUGUGUGCAUCCAGUGUUUACAGGUGCUAGUGUCUCACCCGUGGAGGCUGAAAGGUCAAAACGACAAGGAGAAAGCAGCCUGGUUUCAACCCACUCCUUUGGUAAACAGAGGGGCAGACUAGGAUUCGGAACGGAUGAUCACGCGUACCCAAGAACAGCCCAUGGUAAAACCAGAAGGCCCACAGUGCAUACGGCUGGGGAGCAUUCUGGAGAAGACAGGUGGAGGAAAUACUAAGGUCAGCCUUGAUGAUCAACCCGUGGCUUAGCGAAGGCUGCCUCGGAGCAGAAGUGAUAUCAGUUUACCUAUCUAUUAAAUCACCAUCGAAAAAAGAAUAUCUCUAUUGAACCAAGGCACCAAUCACAAGAGUGAGAUUACUUUUCUUUAAAGAACACAAGUGAUUUUCAAGGACAGGGGCAAUAAGGAAGGGAUAAGGAUUGUGGGUGAUAGUCUCCGAUGCUCAGAUGCUUGGUCUCAGGCCACGGUGACCACCAAUGAACUGAUGGAUCUGCAUCUCGAGCAACAGCAAGAUAUUAUGGAGGAGGUCUUGUCUGUAGAGGAGAAAAAGGCGGAGGAAACUCUCACCUCAAAUGAGAUCAGGGAGAUGUGUAAAAUGUGGGAAACAGUGCAAUUUUGUAGAAAAGCACCACCUGAAUAAGGCUGUAGCAAUGAGAGCAAUGAACGUUUAACGACAAUGUAGUAUCACAUUUCCACGAAAUCCUCAAAAGGAGGCAAAAGCAAGUGUCACUGAAUAGGUUCCUUGUUAAAGCUGUACCAAAAGAAAAAGAUUCCAUUGAGCCAAAAGACAGCAGUGAUUCCGUUAGUGAUAGUGAAAGUCGUCCUACACAGUAACUCCCCUCUCGUCUCCCUCACACCAGCCAUGAAGGUUUUCAAAGGUUUCUAGAUCUACUCGACAUCUCAUUUUUCUAUGAUCCAGGAAAAUUUCUAAUCAGUUAUCAGAGAAUCAUAGAGAAUGCCAGAACGUUAUGUCAAGUAACAAUUAUGUAUUUUAGAAAGAUAGCCUUUUCAACUUAAGGAGCAUGUGCAGGCUUCCAAUGUCCACCCACUCAUAGAAAAAAAGGACAAGUAACAGAUUACAUCAAACUUCAGAACUUCUCAAAUAUCUAGUUAUUAUACACAUUCCCAUCUGUCUUGCAGGGAGGGAUCUUGGUCGGCUUAACAGUUUCAGGUAAAAUAAGCUGCAUAAUAGUAUAUAUUACAAUAAUAAAUGUACAAUGUUUACAUGAAAUAUGUUUUAGAAGCAAAAAAAAAAAAAAAAAAAAAAGAUGCAUCUGCAUCAAAAGGCGACCUUUUAAAAUGCCACAACUGUUUUUUACAUUCACUCUUGCAACAGGUCACAAGAUGGGGUCACUAAGCUCAGAUAAAUCACUAUGAUGCACAUAAAAUACAGAAAGAUUGGUUAUUUUAUAUAUAUUAUAUAUAUUUAUAUUCUCACACUUUAGCAUCUGAGACAUAAACUGAGAAUUUAAAAUUUAUUCUCUUCAGAUAACAAAUCAUUUUUUAUUUUUCAUAAACAUGGUGCCCACAAAAGCACAUAGGUAAGGCACAAUAGGGUUUUCUGUUACAGAACAGUGUGCAUCAUGUUUACUUAACCAGAAAACGUGCAUUAUCUGUGCAAGUUCAUGCUGCAAACCCAACACAUAUACAAUAAAAAAAAAACAAAAAGGAAACUGAGCUUUAAACAAAAUCAAAAUUGGUACAAUUCCAGCUGUUUCACAUAUUCAUUUGGACUGACAACAAUAUAUCAACAGGUUGUUUUUUAAAAAGCCAAUUGUUACAUUACAAGUAAACUCUGCUCAGCAACGAUUUUAAUCUGAAAUCAUAAACAGUAAUAAAGCAACUUUACUGAAACAAAGUAAAUACCGAGGCACAAAGCAACAGUCACUCGUGCAUUUACUAUAUUGCAAGCUUUCAUGACCCAAAAUUUCAAAUAUAAAUUUUCAAAGACACAUUUUGCUGCAACAAUGUGCCCUGCUUUAAACUUGACAUAGAACAGGGGAGCUGACAUUUCAUUAAAUUAUAAAUAAAUUGGGAAAAUGACUUACUCCCAAUAGUACUAUGACAUAGUCCUAGUAUUUAUAAUAAAUACAGCUUUUCACAAAAUACUUUUCCAAUAUCUGCCAAUUGCAUCUUUAUUGCUCACAUAAAUUUGAAUCCAUUACAACUGAUAUCGUAACUUUCACACAAAAUCAUACUCAGACAUUUUUAUAUAAAACUUAUAAAAGAUAUUUUAAACUUGUAUCUAAUACUUCCAGGUGUUUGGCUGUUUGAUCUAUGUGAUAGUACAGCCAUAUGUAUAUAUGUGUGUAUAUAUAUACACAUAUACACAUACAUAUAUA